rnacentral:rRNA from 1 species
GAUGAACGCUGGCGGCGUGCCUAAUACAUGCAAGUCGAGCGAACAGAUGAGGAGCUUGCUCCUCUGACGUUAGCGGCGGACGGGUGAGUAACACGUGGAUAACCUACCUAUAAGACUGGGAUAACUUCGGGAAACCGGAGCUAAUACCGGAUAAUAUAUUGAACCGCAUGGUUCAAUAGUGAAAGACGGUUUUGCUGUCACUUAUAGAUGGAUCCGCGCCGCAUUAGCUAGUUGGUAAGGUAACGGCUUACCAAGGCGACGAUGCGUAGCCGACCUGAGAGGGUGAUCGGCCACACUGGAACUGAGACACGUUCCAGACUCCUACGGGAGGCAGCAGUAGGGAAUCUUCCGCAAUGGGCGAAAGCCUGACGGAGCAACGCCGCGUGAGUGAUGAAGGUCUUCGGAUCGUAAAACUCUGUUAUUAGGGAAGAACAAAUGUGUAAGUAACUAUGCACGUCUUGACGGUACCUAAUCAGAAAGCCACGGCUAACUACGUG